rnacentral:rRNA from 1 species
UGGGGAAUAUUGGACAAUGGGGGAAACCCUGAUCCAGCGAUGCCGCGUGAGUGAAGAAGGCCUUCGGGUCGUAAAGCUCUUUAGGUUGGGAAGAAGGAUGUGAGUUGAAUACACUCAUGUCUUGACGGUACCGACAGAAUAAGCACCGGCAAACUCUGUGCCAGCAGCCGCGGUAAUACAGAGGGUGCGAGCGUUAAUCGGAUUUACUGGGCGUAAAGGGCACGUAGGCGGUAGAAUGUGUGUGAUGUGAAAGCCCCGGGCUCAACCUGGGAAGUGCAUCGCAAACUAUUUAACUAGAGUAGAUGAGAGGGUGGCGGAAUUUCCGGUGUAGCGGUGAAAUGCGUAGAGAUCGGAAGGAACGUCAAUGGCGAAGGCAGCCACCUGGCAUCAUACUGACGCUGAGGUGCGAAAGCGUGGGGAGCGAACA